UUAGAUUAACAGACAUAUUUUGUCCAUUACAGAUCAGAGCCUUCCCUUGUUUUACAUUCUGCUGAUUUCUACUGCUGGAUCUCUUUUGAUUGUAGCUGCAGUUGUGAUGGGCUGCAGGAAAUGUAGAAAAACAGUCGACACUCAGGAGGAGGACAGAAUGGAUUCAGCAUUGUUUAAACCAGCAACAAGAAAAAUGAAAUCCAAGACGGAUACUGAGUAUGAAAAUGUGCCCAAAAAACGACCAUAUCUACUGAAAUUCUGAAACUG